UACGUAGGGGGCAAGCGUUGUCCGGAAUCAUUGGGCGUAAAGCGCGUGUAGGCGGCUCGAUAAGUCCGUUCUGAAAGUCCAGGGCUCAACCCUGGGAUGCGGAUGGAUACUGUCGAGCUCGAGUCCGGAAGAGGCGAGUGGAAUUCCUGGUGUAGCGGUGAAAUGCGCAGAUAUCAGGAAGAACACCGGUGGCGAAGGCGGCUUCCUGGAACGGUACUGACGCUGAGACGCGAAAGCGUGGGGAGCAAACAGG
rnacentral:rRNA from 1 species